rnacentral:rRNA from 1 species
GACAGAGGUGCCGAGCGUUAGGCGGAAUCACUGGGCUUAAAGCGUGUGUAGGCGGACCGUUAAGUACCUUGUGAAAUCCCCCGGCUCAACCGGGGAACGGCUGGGUAUACUGGCGGUCUUGAGCCAUCCAGGGGCAGUCGGAACAGACGGUGGGGCGGUGAAAUGCGUAGAUAUCGUCUGGAACGCCGAAGGUGAAAACAGACUGCUGGGGAUGCGCUGACGCUGAGACACGAAAGCCAGGGGAGCGAACGGG